rnacentral:rRNA from 1 species
UACAGAGGGUGCGAGCGUUGUCCGGAAUCACUGGGCGUAAAGGGCGCGUAGGUGGCGACCCAAGUCGAUGGUGAAAGCUCGCCGCUCAACGGCGAGUCGGCCACUGAUACUGGGUUGCUGGAGCACUGUAGAGGCAGAUGGAAUUCCGGGUGUAGCGGUGGAAUGCGUAGAGAUCCGGAAGAACACCGGCGGCGAAGGCGGUCUGCUGGGCAGUUGCUGACACUGAGGCGCGACAGCGUGGGGAGCAAACAGG